rnacentral:rRNA from 1 species
UACGUAGGGGGCAAGCGUUAUCCGGAUUUACUGGGUGUAAAGGGAGCGUAGACGGCACUGCAAGUCCGGAGUGAAAGCCCAAGGCUUAACCAUGGGACUGCUCUGGAAACUGUGGAGCUUGAGUGCGGGAGGGGCAGGCGGAAUUCCUAGUGUAGCGGUGAAAUGCAUAGAUAUCGCGCAGAACUCCGAUUGCGAAGGCAGCAUGCCGGCUCCACACUGACGCUGAGGCACGAAAGCGUGGGUAUCGAACAGG